rnacentral:lncRNA from 1 species
UUGUUAUCUGAUCUCUAUUUCCUGAGAUAUUGGCUACUUCUGGUUACUUCCGGGAAAUUUUCUUGACAAUUUGCAAAAAGUAAAAAUUGAGCUGUAUUAUUCUAACAAUUUCAAAGGGUUUUCUUGCAUGCAUUAGGGUGUUGCAGCUUUUAUUCCGUGUUUUUCUUGCUAUCAACAGUACAGGCUGACCCUACGAGCAACGGCAGUAUUAGUUACAAAUGUUUAGCGCCUCGUCUUGUAACUAGUAGCUGAUAUUCUAGGUUUUUAAAUUUAAAAUUUGAAUCAACUGUCUGAGCUGGAAGGCGGGAGGCGCUAACGUCUGCUAACGUCAAAAUUAUCAGUUUCUCCCCGGCAGCUAAGGAUAUAUUAUAGGGGAAAAUCUAUGGUAAAAUCAUAGAUUUUAGCGACCAUUUUAGGUCGCUAGAGGCCCCCAUAAUUCUGGGGGGUAAUAGGUGUGACCAUAUUAUAGUGUUUCUUUUUCUUCUUAGUGUCACCUUAGUUAGAUUGUUUCUCUGAGUUAGACUUGUAGUUACUUGUCUUAUCAUUCUCGAUUUACACUACGACGACAUUUUGUGUUGCACGUUUGGGCAACAAUUGACAAUUGGAUUGGAUUGGAGACAAUUGGCAUUUGCUCUAUACAAAGGACAAUAAAACAGAGAGCGUAAGUCCUUCUAAUAGACCAACAUAUCUGCAACCAAGGAUCUGCUUAGGGACAGUGAGACAUCAGCAAAUACAACAACAGAAUCAUAUCCAAAUUGUAGCACAAAACUUGUACAGCUGUGAUACCUCCCAAACACCUAUGCAGUUUGGAAUGCUUGUCAGGCGAAUGCAGAUUAAUGUAAAAGAUGUCAAAUGUUAGACAUGUGGAAAAGGCCUGAUAGGAUGUGUGGACGCCUUCGGUAACAUAGAUUGGAACAUAUGAUUUUUCAUGUUGGCUACACCAAGGCAGUAAUAACUGUGCUGCAAACAAUCUGCAAAACAUGCUUGUCUGUCCAUCUCAGUGAUGAGAUGGCAAAUUUGUUGAGUAAAUCUGACUAAGGAAGCAAAUCUGAGAAGUGUUCCUAAAAGUAACUUGUCCCAGUGUGAUUUUCAUAGCAAUCCAUCAUUUGUUCCAAAGAUUUUUUUAUGAAGCUACAACAUGGAAGGUCUUGAACCAGUAAGCAUCAUACGGGGAGCUCCUAUGUAUGAAAGGAACUUUCUUCAGUAUUGAUACUGAGAUAAAUGACUUUGUUCUCAUCAACUUUCAGUUUAAAGAAACCAUUAACUCCUCAAAGACCACAAGUACACCUGUUACCACCACCCGGUUCCAAAUCGAUGAUUGCUUGGAUUCUAGAAAAAACAAUGCUCGUGACUCGGUGUCACCAACGUGAUACAAAGUUAUUCAACUCUUUACAUCAAACCUGUUGAGAAGGAUGCCCCAGGCUGGACACUAUUACUCCAAUUGAAAAUGAAUGGACACAGUUCAUUUAUAGCACUCAUGCAAGAUGCAACCACCAUUUAGACAUCUUAAAAACGUAUUUUAGGAUAUGCAAACUAUGGCACUAAGUUAAUUUUUAUAUAAUACUUCGCAUGUUUGUCGCAUGUGAAAAAGAAUAAAAAUGGAAUGUGAUGCCUAGGUAGCAUAAUGAGGUCAGAAGAUUGCCCAACAUCUAUGGAAAAAUGACUUGAUUGAUGAACCAGCUAUAUUUAGCAGGUUGGCUUUAUUGUAGAACUGUUAAACAUUUGAUAUUCAUAAUGUUCGCAAGGCUUUUAAGAAAAUAGUUUUCAUUGCACUGGCGACAAUUCGGAAUGGCGAGGUGCGAAUGAAUCGGAUUAAAAGUCAGCGUGGAAAUGCAAUAGCUGGCAAGAAAUGAGAGGACGAUUGGUGAUGAGACAAUUUAUUCUAAUCGCUGUAACUCAUGGACACGUCGACAUUCGUGGUAAUCAAACUUAGAACGUCUGCAAUGCGAAAUUUUUCACCAAUAUAAAGCCCCGUAGGAACCUUCCAUACGUCACUUUUAUUGUAGCUGACAGUGACUGUAAUUAUGGCUUACUUAGCCCAUGCUUAUCCAGAGCUGCCUUCUUGAUCCCCGCCCUAAAAACUAUCAUCUUCAAAAGCUUCCAGGUUUGUUAUGGUCGUAGAACAGCAGACGACGGAGGUGAGGAAGUAGUGACGGAAAUAAGAAAUUCAUACAUAUUUCGUUUGAAGUACGUACUACCUUUUGCACUUGUACAGAGCGUUCGGGAACGAAAUUAGUUGUGGAUAGGUUUGCUGUUGACAAGCAAGGGAAGGAUUUUUACCAAACCAGACAGGAAUGAAAUUUUUUGUGGCUGGUUUUGUUGUUGACAAGCAAGGGGAGGACAUUUUUACAAAAUAGACAGGAUAUUUAUUCUAGAUCCCAUAAUGUUUGGGUAAUAAAUCGUAAGAAAAAUGGCAAAGGAUUUCACCGUAUUAAGUAGAUGUAUCAGCAAAAAUUUAAUACUAACUCAUGUUUUUUCUUUAAUGUAGAUCACAAAUCAUACUGAAUUAGAAUAGGAUGUUGACUGAGGCUGGGUGCCAAAAGAAUGGAUGAUAAUUGUAAGCGCGAUUGGGAAUAUCCAUGAUUUUUUAAACGUUAUCUCAUGUUACGGUAUUUUAUUAAAGAUAAAUUGAAGUGCA